GACGAACGCUGGCGGCGUGCCUAAUACAUGCAAGUUGAGCGAUGAAGAUUGGUGCUUGCACCAAUUUGAAGAGCAGCGAACGGGUGAGUAACGCGUGGGGAAUCUGCCUUUGAGCGGGGGACAACAUUUGGAAACGAAUGCUAAUACCGCAUAACAACUUUAAACAUAAGUUUUAAGUUUGAAAGAUGCAAUUGCAUCACUCAAAGAUGAUCCCGCGUUGUGUUAGCUAGUUGGUGAGGUAAAGGCUCACCAAGGCGAUGAUACAUAGCCGACCUGAGAGGGUGAUCGGCCACAUUGGGACUGAGACACGGCCCAAACUCCUACGGGAGGCAGCAGUAGGGAAUCUUCGGCAAUGGACGAAAGUCUGACCGAGCAACGCCGCGUGAGUGAAGAAGGUUUUCGGAUCGUAAAACUCUGUUGGUAGAGAAGAACGUUGGUGAGAGUGGAAAGCUCAUCAAGUGACGGUAACUACCCAGAAAGGGACGGCUAACUACGUG
rnacentral:rRNA from 1 species